rnacentral:tRNA from 1 species
GCCUGGGUGGCUCAGUCAGUAGAGCAUCUGACUCUUGAUUCUGGCUCAGGUCAUGAUCCCAGGGUUGUGGGAUUGAGCCCCAUGUCAGGCU